rnacentral:rRNA from 1 species
CCUACGGGAGGCAGCAGUGGGGAAUAUUGCGCAAUGGGCGAAAGCCUGACGCAGCGACGCCGCGUGAGGGAUGAAGGUCUUCGGAUCGUAAACCUCUGUCAGCAGGGAAGAACGGUCACUGUGCUAAUCAGCAGUGAAUUGACGGUACCUGCAAAGGAAGCACCGGCUAACUCCGUGCCAGCAGCCGCGGUAACACGGAGGGUGCGAGCGUUAAUCGGAAUUACUGGGCGUAAAGCGCUCGUAGGCGGUAUGUCAAGUCAAGGGUGAAAUCCCCGCGCUCAACGGGGGAGCUGCCUUUGAAACUGGCAGACUGGAGUGUGUGAGAGGAUAGUGGAAGUCCAGGUGGAGGAGUGAAAUCCGUAGAUAUCUGGAGGAACAUCAGUGGCGAAGGCGACUAUCUGGCACAUAACUGACGCUGAGGAGCGAAAGCGUGGGUAGCAAACAGGAUUAGAUACCCCUGUAGUC